UUUCCGUAGGUGAACCAGCGGAGGGAUCAUUACCGAGUUUACAACUCCCAAACCCCUAUGUGAACGUUACCAAACUGUUGCCUCGGCGGGAAAUUCAUGCCCCGGGCGCGUCGCAGCCCCGGACCAAGGCGCCCGCCGGAGGACCAACCAAAACUCUUUUGUAUGUCCCUCGCGGACUUUUAUAAUUCUGAACCAUAUCGGCGACCCUAGCGGGCGUUUCGAAAAUGAAUCAAAACUUUCAACAACGGAUCUCUUGGUUCUG
rnacentral:misc_RNA from 1 species